GACGAACGCUGGCGGCGUGCUUAACACAUGCGAGUCGAACGGAAAGGCCCUGCUUUUGUGGGGUGCUCGAGUGGCGAACGGGUGAGUAACACGUGAGUAACCUGCCCUUGACUUUGGGAUAACUUCAGGAAACUGGGGCUAAUACCGGAUAGGAGCUCCUGCUGCAUGGUGGGGGUUGGAAAGAUUCGGCGGUUGGGGAUGGACUCGCGGCUUAUCAGCUUGUUGGUGGGGUAGUGGCUUACACAGGCUUUGACUGGUAGCCGGCGUGGGAGGGUGACCGGACACAUAGGGAAUGAAAUACGCCCCCAACUCCUACGGUAGCCAGCAGUGGAGAAUAUUGCAAAAUGGGCGGAAGCCUUUUACAUGAACGCAGCAUGCGGGAUGACGGACUUCGGGUUGUAAACCGCUUUCGCAUGUGACGAAGCGUGAGUGACGGUAAUGGGUAAAGAAGCACCGGCUAACUACGUG
rnacentral:rRNA from 1 species